UACGGGGGGGCAAGCGUUGUUCGGAAUUACUGGGCGUAAAGGGCGCGUAGGCGGUGUGUCAAGUCAGGCGUGAAAGCCCCGGGCUCAACCUGGGAACCGCGCUUGAGACUGGCACGCUCGAGUUCGGGAGAGGAUGGUGGAAUUCCCAGUGUAGAGGUGAAAUUCGUAGAUAUUGGGAAGAACACCGAUGGCGAAGGCAGCCAUCUGGACCGACACUGACGCUGAGGCGCGAAAGCGUGGGGAGCAAACAGG
rnacentral:rRNA from 1 species